UGGGGAAUUUUGGACAAUGGGCGAAAGCCUGAUCCAGCAAUGCCGCGUGUGUGAAGAAGGCCUUCGGGUUGUAAAGCACUUUUGUCCGGAAAGAAAUCCUUGGCUCUAAUACAGUCGGGGGAUGACGGUACCGGAAGAAUAAGCACCGGCUAACUACGUGCCAGCAGCCGCGGUAAUACGUAGGGUGCAAGCGUUAAUCGGAAUUACUGGGCGUAAAGCGUGCGCAGGCGGUUUGCUAAGACCGAUGUGAAAUCCCCGGGCUCAACCUGGGAACUGCAUUGGUGACUGGCAGGCUAGAGUAUGGCAGAGGGGGGUAGAAUUCCACGUGUAGCAGUGAAAUGCGUAGAGAUGUGGAGGAAUACCGAUGGCGAAGGCAGCCCCCCUGGGCCAAUACUGACGCUCAUGCACGAAAGGCGUGGGGGAGCAAACAGGAUUAGAUACCCUGGUAGUCCACGCCCUAAACGAUGUCAACUAGUUGUUGGGGAUUCAUUUCCUUAGUAACGUAGCUAACGCGUGAAGUUGACCGCCUGGGGAGUACGGUCGCAAGAUUAAACUCAAU
rnacentral:rRNA from 1 species